GACGAACGCUGGCGGCGCGCCUAACACAUGCAAGUCGAACGGAGUUUCCCCUUCGGGGGGAGCUUAGUGGCGGACGGGUGAGUAACACGUGAGGAACCUGCCUUUGAGAGCGGGAUACCGUCUGGAAACGGACGUUAAUACCGCAUAAUGCAGCGAGGCCACAUGGCCAUGCUGCCAAAGAUUUAUCGCUCAAAGAUGGCCUCGCGCCUGAUUAGAUAGUUGGCGGGUAACGGCCACCAAGUCUGCGAUCAGUAGCCGGACUGAGAGGUCGAACGGCCACAUUGGGACUGAGAUACGGCCCAGACUCCUACGGGAGGCAGCAGUGGGGGAUAUUGCACAAUGGGCGAAAGCCUGAUGCAGCGACGCCGCGUGAGGGAAGACGGUUUUCGGAUUGUAAACCUCUGUCUUCGGGGACGAAACAAGACGGUACCCGAGGAGGAAGCCACGGCUAACUACGUG
rnacentral:rRNA from 1 species